UGGUGAUGAUGUGGACAGUACUGAAGAAGAGCUUUGAAACGCUCCCAAGCAUGAUAUAAGUUCUCAUUUAGCUUCUAUUUAAAGCAUACAAUCUCAGUGCAAAGUCU
rnacentral:snoRNA from 1 species